CCUACGGGAGGCUGCAGUGGGGGAUAUUGCACAAUGGGGGGAACCCUGAUGCAGCGACGCCGCGUGGGUGAAGAAGCGCCUCGGCGCGUACAGCCCUGUCAGCAGGGAAGAAAAUGACGGUACCUGAAGAAGAAGCCCCGGCUAACUACGUCCCAGCAGCCGCGGUAAUACGUAGGGGGCAAGCGUUAGCCGGAUGUACUGGGUGGAAAGGGGGCGCAGACGGCGAUGCAAGCCAGGAGUGAAAGCCCGGGGCCCAACCCCGGGACUGCACUUGGAACUGCGUGGCUGGAGUGCAGGAGGGGCAGGCGGAAUUCCUGGUGUAGCGGUGAAAUGCGUAGAUAUCAGGAGGAACACCGGUGGCGAAGGCGGCCUGCUGGACUGCAACUGACGUUGAGGCCCGAAAGCGUGGGGAGCAAACAGGAUUAGAUACCCGGGUAGUC
rnacentral:rRNA from 1 species